CUACGGGGGGCUCCAGUGAGGAAUAUUGCACAAUGGGGGGAACCCUGAUGCAGCAACGCCGCGUGGAGGAUGACGCAUUUCGGUGUGUAAACUCCUUUUAUAUGUCAAGAAAAUGACGGUAGCAUAUGAAUAAGCACCGGCUAACUCCGUGCAGCAGCCGCGGUAAUACGGAGGGUGCAAGCGUUACUCGGAAUCACUGGGCGUAAAGGACGCGUAGGCGGGUUGGAAAGUCAGGUGUGAAAUCCUACAGCUUAACUGUAGAACUGCACUUGAAACUUCUAAUCUAGAGUAUGGGAGGGGGAGGUGGAAUUAGGGGUGUAGGGGUAAAAUCCGUAGAUAUCACUAGGAAUACCUAAAGCGAAGGCGAUCUCCUGGAACAUUACUGACGCUAAGGCGUGAAAGCGUGGGGAGCAAACAGGAUUAGAUACCCGAGUAGUC
rnacentral:rRNA from 1 species